rnacentral:rRNA from 1 species
GACUUCUGGUUUAAUGCACCUGGCCCGCGGCCCACAAGGCCUGUGAGUGCCGGCGCGCGUUUACCAUCCUUCCAGCAACGGCUACCCCCUCUGACCGGCCAAUACUAGCACCCCCAACUAUCCCUAUCAAUCAUUACUUCAGUUAUAGAAACCAACAAAAUAGAACCGAAGUCCUAGAUUAUUAUUCCAUGCUAAUGUAUUCAGAGCAAACGCCUGCUUUAAACACUCUAAAUUUUUCAAAGUAAAAGAUCCAGUUCCAGCCGCCCAGUUAAGAAAUUCUUGGAUGGUCAAGACUAACUUAUGCGAAAGCAUU